UGCGGGGCGGACAGUGUCCGCAGUGACAGGAGGUGUGAUGCCGAGCUGAGGGCGGGCCCUGGUAGCCCCUUUGAAACUCCCCGCUCGCCAGGCCCCGCCAGCCCGGCCGGCCCUGGCCCUGCUCGCUGACAGAGCCCCGCCCGCACGAGCUGGGCACUCACCCCGUCUGCAGCAGCUCAGGGCUGGGCACGCACUGGAGCCGGUGGGACAGCAGCUGGAAGGCGCUGCUCUGGGGCAGCAACAUGAGCAGGCCGUACAGGGCCUUGAUCAGAACAUGAGCUGCAAAGGGCAGGGCCUUGCCUGUGACCCUCGUGUGCCUCAUACCAAGAAUCACUUUUGCACAUUACCGCACGGAGGAGCUGUGCUGGUCUCCACCCAAGGUGUCACGAACAGACCCGGAGACGUUCCUCAGCCCCAUUCCAGCACAUCCCUUAGCUGCUCCUGGGCGUGCCCCGGCAUGCUGUGCCAGCCUGGUCUGCAGACAGCAGCUGCCCUGACGGUACAUUUUCAGCCUAUCGCCCAGGACCUGGCUGCCCGGUCCAGGGAGACCUCAGGAGACGCCCAAGCCACCAGGACAGCCUGAAGGGUCACUGUAGUCUGCAGAAAAGGAAGACGCCUCCAGACUGCUGGGUCAUGAAGCUUCCAGGAGGCAGGAAUAAUGAAGUAUCAGCUCCCGGGGAGCCGUACGCACAUGCCGGGCACCGUGCAGAGGGUGUCCCAUGAGUCCGCUUGGGGCAGUUCAGGGGGGAUGGAAAGGUGCCUGUCGUGAGCGGGCACGGGGGCUGUCCCCGCCCGGAGGGGCCUGGCAGAUGGCUGCCUCGCAGGGCUGCUGCGUCAUCACUUCUCUGUUGAGCCCCCGCCCGGCUUGAGCUGCCUGCUGGGCUCUCAAGCACAGCAUCAAUAAUGAAACACAGCUUGCAAGCAUUAAACAUUUGCCCAUAUUUUUUAAUACCCAUAUUAAAGUGCUAUUCAU